GUAAAAUUAGUUUAUUUAAAAUACUAGAUUGUGGGUUUAGAGAAAAAAGGUUUUUAUUUUACU
rnacentral:tRNA from 1 species